rnacentral:rRNA from 1 species
AUUGAACGCUGGCGGAAUGCUUUACACAUGCAAGUCGAACGGCAGCACGGACUUCGGUCUGGUGGCGAGUGGCGAACGGGUGAGUAAUGUAUCGGAACGUGCCCAGUCGUGGGGGAUAACGUAGUGAAAAUUACGCUAAUACCGCAUACGAUCUAUGGAUGAAAGCGGGGGAUCGCAAGACCUCGCGCGAUUGGAGCGGCCGAUAGCAGAUUAGGUAGUUGGUGGGGUAAAGGCCCACCAAGCCAACGAACUGUAGCCGGUCUGAGAGGACGCCCAGCAAAACUGGAACGGAGACACGGUCCAGACUCCUACGGGAGGCAGGAGUGGGGAAUUUUGGACAAUGGGCGAAAGCCUGAUCCAGCCAUUCCGCGUGCAGGAUGAAGGCCCUCGGGUUGUAAACUGCUUUUGGACAGAACGAAAAGGUUUCUACUAAUACUAGGAGCUCAUGACGGUACUGUAAGAAUAAGCACCGGCUAACUACGUGCCAGCCGCCGCAGUAA